rnacentral:rRNA from 1 species
UUUCGAAUCAUUCACAAUGGGGGAAACCCUGAUGGUGCGACGCCGCGUGAGGGAUGAAGGUCUUCGGAUUGUAAACCUCUGUCGAUGGGGACUAAACGCUAUGUUUAUAGCAUAGCCUGAAUUAACCCAUAGAGGAAGUGGUGGCAAACUCUGUGCCAGCAGCCGCGGUAAUACAGAGACCACAAGCGUUACUCGGAUUCACUGGGCGUAAAGGGAGUGUAGGUGGGCAGGUGUGUCAGGCGUGAAAUCUCGGGGCUUAACCCCGAAAUGGCGUCCGAAACUAUCUGUCUAGAGUUUUGGAGAGGUUAGCGGAAUUCCAGGUGUAGCGGUGAAAUGCGUAGAUAUCUGGAGGAACACCGAAGGCGAAGGCAGCUAACUGGACAAAUACUGACACUGAGGCUCGAAAGCGUGGGGAGCAAAAG